AACACAUGCAAGUCGAGCGGUAGCACAGAGAGCUUGCUCUCGGGUGACGAGCGGCGGACGGGUGAGUAAUGUCUGGGAAACUGCCUGAUGGAGGGGGAUAACUACUGGAAACGGUAGCUAAUACCGCAUAACGUCGCAAGACCAAAGUGGGGGACCUUCGGGCCUCAUGCCAUCAGAUGUGCCCAGAUGGGAUUAGCUGGUAGGUGGGGUAACGGCUCACCUAGGCGACGAUCCCUAGCUGGUCUGAGAGGAUGACCAGCCACACUGGAACUGAGACACGGUCCAGACUCCUACGGGAGGCAGCAGUGGGGAAUAUUGCACAAUGGGCGCAAGCCUGAUGCAGCCAUGCCGCGUGUGUGAAGAAGGCCUUCGGGUUGUAAAGCACUUUCAGCGGGGAGGAAGGCGNUAAGGUUAAUAACCUUGUCGAUUGACGUUACCCGCAGAAGAAGCACCGGCUAACUCCGUGCCAGCAGCCGCGGUAAUACGGAGGGUGCAAGCGUUAAUCGGAAUUACUGGGCGUAAAGCGCACGCAGGCGGUCUGUCAAGUCGGAUGUGAAAUCCCCGGGCUCAACCUGGGAACUGCAUUCGAAACUGGCAGGCUAGAGUCUUGUAGAGGGGGGUAGAAUUCCAGGUGUAGCGGUGAAAUGCGUAGAGAUCUGGAGGAAUACCGGUGGCGAAGGCGGCCCCCUGGACAAAGACUGACGCUCAGGUGCGAAA
rnacentral:rRNA from 1 species